GACGAACGCUGGCGGCGUGCUUAACACAUGCAAGUCGAACGGUAAGGCCCUUCGGGGUACACGAGUGGCGAACGGGUGAGUAACACGUGGGUGAUCUGCCCUGCACUUCGGGAUAAGCCUGGGAAACUGGGUCUAAUACCGGAUAGGACCACUGCCUGCAUGGGUGGUGGUGGAAAGCUUUUGCGGUGUGGGAUGGGCCCGCGGCCUAUCAGCUUGUUGGUGGGGUGAUGGCCUACCAAGGCGACGACGGGUAGCCGGCCUGAGAGGGUGACCGGCCACACUGGGACUGAGAUACGGCGCAGACUCCUACGGGAGGCAGCAGGGGGGAAUAUUGCACAAUGGGCGCAAGCCUGAUGCAGCGACGCCGCGUGAGGGAUGACGGCCUUCGGGUUGUAAACCUCUUUCAGCACCGACGAAGCGCAAGUGACGGUAGGUGCAGAAGAAGGACCGGCCAACUACGUGCCAGCCGCCGCAGUAA
rnacentral:rRNA from 1 species